ACGCUGUGAGCGCAUAGCAUGUCAGCUGGGAGCGCAGAACGGGGAACCCUCCCGUUUUGUUUAGAGGCAGCCUCAACGGAGUAGUCUCUUCAAUACAAUCCAGUCAUCCUUGCUAGUUGGUGAGCCUAUGGUGCUUUGAAAAAUAAACUGCUUGUCCAGAAGACUUCAGUUGAGAGACUCGAGGGUUCUGUUUCUAAUAUAGAUGUGAGUGUAACACUGGAGCACUACAAGCAGGCAAAUGAGUGUCAGCCAAUGAAACCUUUUGGAGGCCUCACACCACUUUCAUCAUGUGGAAGAGUGCACAUUAUAACACACUUUGCCACUCUCUGGCACCAAGCUCCUGGGCAAAAUCAGUAGAAGCAAGGUCACAGCAACAGCACCCCACAAAUGACUACAUCCGUCGGCAUCUGCCUUAACACCUAGGGCAAGACUCCCACAUCCUGCUGCUUCCAUCAGCAUCUGCAGGACUUCAUGGAGCACAUGAUUGCUCCUGCUCCCAGCUGUCCACGUCUGGAUUGCAUCACACUCAGCUCUUUCACAGGGAUUCCCCUGACUGCUUUGCUGCUUUUUCACUGCAUUGGCUCUCAAAUGAUUUUUCACUCACCACCUCAACCUUACUUCCUCCAUACCUUUCAUUUCUCUGUCCUCCUUUCUUUUCUGCACAGGUUUCUCUUAUGCAUCUCGGUAUGUAGGUGCGCAUGCACUAAUUACAGACUCCAUGGCCGCUUGCUAAUGAGGCAAUUGAUUGAACUAUGUGCAUCUGAACAUGAAUGUACACUCAACUGUUAACACCAAUUUGCACUUUGCAAUUAACCUUAAAAGGUAAUCGUCUACACUGGUUUGUUUUU